GACGAACGUUGGCGGCCGCGGCCGUAACACAUGCAAGUCGAACGAGCGAGAGAGGAGCGUUGACGUUUCUCAAAGCGAGUGGCGAACGGGUGAGUAACGCGCGAGGAACCUGCCUCAAAGAGGGGGACAACAGUUGGAAACGACUGCUAAUACCGCAUAAGCCCACAGCUCGGCAUCGAGCAGAGGGAAAAGGAGUGAUCCGCUUUGAGAUGGCCUCGCGUCCGAUUAGCUAGUUGGUGAGGUAACGGCCCACCAAGGCAACGAUCGGUAGCCGGACUGAGAGGUUGAACGGCCACAUUGGGACUGAGACACGGCCCAG
rnacentral:rRNA from 1 species